rnacentral:rRNA from 1 species
UACGUAGGGGCAAGCGUUGUCCGGAAUCAUUGGGCGUAAAGAGCGUGUAGGCGGCUCGGUAAGUCCGCUCUGAAAGCCCGGGGCUCAACCCCGGGAGGCGGGCGGAUACUGUCCGGGCUAGAGUCCGGAAGAGGCGAGUGGAAUUCCUGGUGUAGCGGUGAAAUGCGCAGAUAUCAGGAGGAACACCAAUUGCGAAGGCAGCUCGCUGGGACGUUACUGACGCUGAGACGCGAAAGCGUGGGGAGCAAACAGG